UACAGAGGGUGCGAGCGUUGUUCGGAAUUAUUGGGCGUAAAGGGUGCGUAGGCGGUGCGGUAAGUCUGUAGUGAAAUCUCUGGGCUCAACUCAGAGUCUGCUAUAGAAACUGCCGUGCUUGAGUGUGGGAGAGGUGAGUGGAAUUCCCGGUGUAGCGGUGAAAUGCGUAGAUAUCAGGAGGAACACCUGUGGCGAAAGCGGCUCACUGGACCAUAACUGACGCUGAUGCACGAAAGCUAGGGGAGCAAACAGG
rnacentral:rRNA from 1 species